rfam:Eutrema salsugineum unplaced genomic scaffold scaffold_10, whole genome shotgun sequence.
AUCUGUGAAUAUGAUGAAUCUCAUAUAACAAAUGGGUAAUUUGCGACUGACUUUAUAUUGAUGUUUAUUCACCUUGGAGAACUGAUUCCAGAU